rnacentral:rRNA from 1 species
GAUGAACGCUGGCGGCGUGCCUAACACAUGCAAGUCGAGCGGAGAAUUGUUGCUUGUAACAAUUCUUAGCGGCGGACGGGUGAGUAACACGUGGGUAACCUGCCCUAAACAAAGGGAUAACAAUGAGAAAUCAUUGCUAAUACCGUAUAAGCUUACACCAUCGCAUGAUAGAGUAAGAAAAGAUUUAUCGGUUUAGGAGGGGCCCGCGUCUGAUUAGCUAGUUGGAGAGGUAACGGCUCACCAAGGCGACGAGCAGUAGCCGACCUGAGAGGGUGAUCGGCCACAUUGAGACUGAGACACGGCACAAACUCAUACGGGAGGCAGGAGGGGAGAAUAGUGCACAAUGGAGGAGCCUGUGAUGCAGCAACGCCGCGUGAAAGAAGAGGGUUUUCGGAUCGAAAACUUCUAUCUACAGGCAAGAAAAAAAUGACGGUACCUGAGUAAGAAGCCCCGGCUAACUACGUG